rnacentral:rRNA from 1 species
AUACGGAGGGGGCUAGCGUUGUUCGGAAUUACUGGGCGUAAAGCGCACGUAGGCGGACUGGUCAGUUGGGGGUGAAAUCCCAGGGCUUAACCCUGGAACUGCCUUCAAUACUACCAGUCUUGAGACCGAGAGAGGUGAGUGGAAUUCCUAGUGUAGAGGUGAAAUUCGUAGAUAUUAGGAAGAACACCAGUGGCGAAGGCGGCUCACUGGCUCGGUACUGACGCUGAGGUGCGAAAGCGUGGGGAGCAAACAGGAUUAGAAACCCCGGUAGUCC